GAUGAAGAACGUAGUGAAAUGCGAUAAGUAAUGUGAAUUGCAGAAUUCAGUGAACCAUCGAAUCUUUGAACGCACAUUGCGCCCGGCAGUAAUCUGCCGGGCAUGCCUGUCCGAGCGUCAUUUCUCCCCUCGAGCGCAGCUUUCCCCCCCGGGGGAGGGCCGCGCCCGGUGUUGGGGCGCUACGGAGGAGCCCAGCGCUCCCCCGUAGGCCCCGAAAUGUAGUGGCGGUCCCGCCGCGGCGCCCCCUGCGUAGUAGUUUUACAACUCGCAUCGGGUCCCGGCGGAGGCCAGCCGUCAAACCCCCCAACUUCAAUAGUUUGACCUCGGAUCAGGUAGGGUUACCCGCUGAACUUAAGCAUAUCAAUAAGCGGAGA
rnacentral:misc_RNA from 1 species